CCGCCGCGGCAGUCGCCCUCCGCAACCUCUGCCUAGAUAAGGAUAGGGGGCGCCCUCCUCCCUCGAUCAUCCGCACUUGUGUAGCCAUCGCGCCAUCUACACCGGCCACCGCCACACGGAGGUUCGCCUCUGGCCUUGCGGCUUACGACCUCGAGGUGACCGAGCCCGCGGGCUCCAUGACGACAACGGUGACGCCGGAGGCAAAGAUGGCGGCGCAGCAGCAGGCCCCCGCGUCGCGCUCCUCCUCCCGACCUCGUCGUCGAGUCCCUAUUCCCGCCGGACCUCGAUAUCUUCGCAGGCCGCUGGACCCCGCCGGGGCGGGUGACCGAUGCAGUGCGCUCUCGAUCCGUGCAGAGCGCAGGUGGUUGGAUGGCCUUCGUGCAGUCCGUCGUCUCCAACAGUGACGACGAGGAGGACUUCAUCAUCGACUCCCGCCACGGACAGGCUAGCUGGCUAGGCGGCCGAGUCCGUUCGGUGCUGCCGUGCGGGAGCGCUUGCUGUCUCCGAUUCCGUCCCGUUUGCUUUCGUGGACUGGUUCGGAAAUUGGAAGGCGUUGCGAUGAGAUGCUGCGGAGGCGGCGAGAAGCUCACUCCCCGGCGAUGAGCAGAAUCACAACAGUAUCUUAAUCUCCCUUGCCUCCUCGUUCCCUGUCUCCCCGGCAAGCCUUCGGUCGCAUCGGGGUGGCGAGCUUGCGCUGUCAGCGGCGAACCCCUCCCCUGCCCCCGCAGUUCUUCCGCCUGCUGGCUGGACUCAGUUCGGCCCUUAACAAGAGAACGAAGACCAUGCCGAUGCGUGGCGUCGAUUUCAAGUGGUAUGACGGGUUCUUCCUCUCCAUGCUGUUCAGAAUAAUGAUUCUGUACCCUGCAGCAUAAGCUCCGGGGCGCACAUCCGCAGCCACAAUCUCUCCCUGCAGCAUAAGCUCGUCAAGGCUAUCAAGGAUGCUGGGAACAUCAAGGGUUUGUUUGGUUAGAAGGGGAUUGAAGAAAGCUUCCUUUUUAAUCCAUUUUGUUGAUUGAGUCGCAUUCCCGAAUCCAUACUUGAACAUCAGGAUCUCAUAUGCGAGGUGUCAUCUCGGGACACUGGAAAGACUAUGGUUGAUGCUUCAUUAGGAGAGAUAAUGACCACAUGUGAGAAGAUUACCUAGCAAAAUGAAGACUGGUACUUAAUGUAAUGGCCUACAUAAUAAAAUUUAGAAUAGUUAGUACUCUGCAACUUCUGCUCACUCUUGCUUGGGAUAAACUUUGCGUUUAUUUCUUGAUGAUGCCUGCAUUAUUGUUGUCACAGGAUGUUUUUACUCGGGAGAUCUGGAGGUUGGCGAACGCCCGGGGAGAAACUAUUCAAGGAGAAACUAUAAUGUGUACACAACUUGUGAAGUAUAUGCAAAUUUGUUCGGGAUAUGCACCUGAAAUCCAGUUAUUUUUUUCUGUUGUCAUAAUAGAUAUGGUUUAAUUUAUUCGUGUCUAGAUAAUCUAUGCAGAAGACAUGUUUGUAAAGUUAUUUUUGUUUUACAUACAUAAGGUUUAGGAAAUUGUUUACUGAGCAUGCUAAAAAAUUCCUGAGCACUCAUCUAUGCAAGGCCCUAGAUGAGCUGUGAUUUUAUUUUGUUUUCUAUUGAUAUAUGUCAAUAUAGUUUAUGAUUAGCCCUUAGGCCUGUACUGAACCUUGGCUCUGAUAAGAACGGAACGACAGUUUCAUGGUCCAAAUUCUUUGGUGUUGAACAUUGAAAAAUCUAUUUCGUUCAUGGUCCAAAUUCUUUGGGGUUGAACAUUGAAAAAUCUAUUUUUCUCAUGCUGAAUAGUGGCAUGCUUAUUACAUUUGGCUCACUUGCUUGUUAUUAUCAAGCUUUCUUUUUUAUUAGGCUAUUGAUUCAAAAUUGUAGUUUUUAAGUUUUCUUUGCUUCAACAAACCUGAUUUGUGUUGUAUAGGCAAGCAAUUCUUCUAGAUUUCAGGUUGGAAGAAUGUUCUUAUUGUAUUCAUUUUUAGCAGUUAGAAAAGCACAGGAGAACUGAUCAAGAGCUAAAUAAGGGGGUUCUAAAGCUUGAAUUUUGCCUUCAAGAUUAUCAGUCUCAGAUGCGAAAAUUAAAGAGGGUAUGCUCCUUCUGGUUCCAUAAGGGUAUUAGCUUCAUUUCAAGUUA